GACGUAGGGCGCGAGCGUUGUCCGGAUUUAUUGGGCGUAAAGAGCGUGUAGGCGGCCCAGUAAGUCCGCUCUGAAAGCCCGGGGCUUAACCCCGGGAGGCGGGUGGAUACUGCUGGGCUCGAGUCCGGAAGAGGCGAGUGGAAUUCCCGGUGUAGCGGUGAAAUGCGCAGAUAUCGGGAGGAACACCAAUGGCGAAGGCAGCUCGCUGGGACGUGACUGACGCUGAGACGCGAAAGCGUGGGGAGCAAACAGG
rnacentral:rRNA from 1 species